rnacentral:lncRNA from 1 species
AACUUUGUUGGGUUCAUCUAAACUCUUUGCCUCCAUUUGUCAAUUCUUUAAUAUCCUAAAUGUUAGGUCUAAAAAAACUAAAUUCAUUUCCUUCUCUUUUAGUUCCCAAAUGAUAUGUUAAAUUUGUCCCCUCGAACAUUCAUCUUUUUGUGAGAAUUUAGCCCUUUCAAACCACACCAAUGCCGAUUCCCUGACCAUGUGAUUGUAAAUAAGUAUAAUUUUAUUAUAUUUAAUAGUAGACUAUCUGCACAUUACAAUUUUUUUUCACAAACGCACCAUAGAUACCAGGAUUUAAAUUUUGACAUCUACAAAAGACUAUCUAUCAUUGAUGAACUUAUCAAGUAAUUGAACAAGGACAAAUUAAUUACAAAGUGGAAGAGCAUUGGGGACCCAAAGUUGUGAAAGCUUAUGACAAAUAUAGCUAAACGAACCUGCUAAAGAUGACUAGUGUUCAAUAUUGCCUCAGUGAGUUUUAUACAUGUUUAAACC